CACGGGUGCGUAACGCGUAUACAAUCUACCUUUUGCUGAGGGAUAGCCCAGAGAAAUUUGGAUUAACACCUCAUAGUAUGAUGAUUUGGCAUCAAGAUAUCAUUAAAGGUUAUGGCAGAAGAUGAGUAUGC
rnacentral:rRNA from 1 species